UGCAGUAGAACGCUGAAGAGAGGAGCUUGCUCUUCUUGGAUGAGUUGCGAACGGGUGAGUAACGCGUAGGUAACCUGCCUUGUAGCGGGGGAUAACUAUUGGAAACGAUAGCUAAUACCGCAUAACAAUGGAUGACCCAUGUCAUUUAUUUGAAAGGGGCAAAUGCUCCACUACAAGAUGGACCUGCGUUGUAUUAGCUAGUAGGUGAGGUAACGGCUCACCUAGGCGACGAUACAUAGCCGACCUGAGAGGGUGAUCGGCCACACUGGGACUGAGACACGGCCCAGACUCCUACGGGAGGCAGCAGUAGGGAAUCUUCGGCAAUGGGGGCAACCCUGACCGAGCAACGCCGCGUGAGUGAAGAAGGUUUUCGGAUCGUAAAGCUCUGUUGUAAGUCAAGAACGAGUGUGAGAGUGGAAAGUUCACACUGUGACGGUAGCUUACCAGAAAGGGACGGCUAACUACGUGCCAGCAGCCGCGGUAAUACGUAGGUCCCGAGCGUUGUCCGGAUUUAUUGGGCGUAAAGCGAGCGCAGGCGGUUUGAUAAGUCUGAAGUUAAAGGCUGUGGCUCAACCAUAGUUCGCUUUGGAAACUGUCAAACUUGAGUGCAGAAGGGGAGAGUGGAAUUCCAUGUGUAGCGGUGAAAUGCGUAGAUAUAUGGAGGAACACCGGUGGCGAAAGCGGCUCUCUGGUCUGUAACUGACGCUGAGGCUCGAAAGCGUGGGGAGCGAACAGGAUUAGAUACCCUGGUAGUCCACGCCGUAAACGAUGAGUGCUAGGUGUUGGAUCCUUUCCGGGAUUCAGUGCCGCAGCUAACGCAUUAAGCACUCCGCCUGGGGAGUACGACCGCAAGGUUGAAACUCAAAGGAAUUGACGGGGGCCCGCACAAGCGGUGGAGCAUGUGGUUUAAUUCGAAGCAACGCGAAGAACCUUACCAGGUCUUGACAUCCCGAUGCUAUUUCUAGAGAUAGAAAGUUACUUCGGUACAUCGGUGACAGGUGGUGCAUGGUUGUCGUCAGCUCGUGUCGUGAGAUGUUGGGUUAAGUCCCGCAACGAGCGCAACCCCUAUUGUUAGUUGCCAUCAUUCAGUUGGGCACUCUAGCGAGACUGCCGGUAAUAAACCGGAGGAAGGUGGGGAUGACGUCAAAUCAUCAUGCCCCUUAUGACCUGGGCUACACACGUGCUACAAUGGUUGGUACAACGAGUUGCGAGUCGGUGACGGCAAGCUAAUCUCUUAAAGCCAAUCUCAGUUCGGAUUGUAGGCUGCAACUCGCCUACAUGAAGUCGGAAUCGCUAGUAAUCGCGGAUCAGCACGCCGCGGUGAAUACGUUCCCGGGCCUUGUACACACCGCCCGUCACACCACGAGAGUUUGUAACACCCGAAGUCGGUGAGGUAACCUUUGGAGCCAGCCGCCUAAGGUGG
rnacentral:rRNA from 1 species